AUUGAACGCUGGCGGCAGGCCUAACACAUGCAAGUCGAACGAGUGGCGGACGGGUGAGUAAUGUCUGGGCAACUGCCUGAUGGAGGGGGCUAACUACUGGAAACGGUAGCUAAUACCGCAUACCAUCAGAUGUGCCCAGAUGGGAUUAGCUAGUUGGUGGGGUAACGGCUCACCAAGGCGACGAUCCCUAGCUGGUCUGAGAGGAUGACCAGCCACACUGGAACGGAGACACGGUCCAGAUGCCUACGGGAGGCAGCAGAGGGGAAUAUUGGACAAGGGGGGCAAGCCGGAUGCAGCAAGGCCGCGUGUAUGAAGAAGGCCUUCGGUUGGUAAAGUACUUUCAGCGGGGAGGCGUUACCCGAAGAAGAAGCAACGGCUAACUCCGUGCCAGCAGCCGCGGUAAUAC
rnacentral:rRNA from 1 species